UCCCUGGUGGUCUAGUGGUUAGGAUUUGGCGCUCUCACUGUUGCUGCCCGGGUUUGAUUCCCAGUAAGGGAA